UACAGAGGUCUCAAGCGUUGUUCGGAAUUACUGGGCGUAAAGGGCUCGUAGGUGGCCAACUAAGUCGGACGUGAAAUCCCUCAGCUUAACUGGGGAACUGCGUCCGAUACUGGAUGGCUUGAGUUUGGGAGAGGGAUGCGGAAUUCCAGGUGUAGCGGUGAAAUGCGUAGAUAUCUGGAGGAACACCGGUGGCGAAGGCGGCAUCCUGGACCAACACUGACACUGAGGAGCGAAAGCCAGGGGAGCAAACGGU
rnacentral:rRNA from 1 species